rnacentral:antisense_RNA from 1 species
CUUGAUCGAGCCCAGCAGCAGCGGCCGCUCGCGUUCCUGCCCGUAGGUGGCCAGCAACGCCUGCGCCUC